GCGAGAGUGGCGGAAUUGGUAGACGCACUGGAUUUAGGAUCCAGCGCUCCGGCGUGGGGGUUCAAAUCCCCCCUCUCGCACCA
rnacentral:tRNA from 1 species